GACGAACCGUGCAAACGUUGUUCGGAAUCACUGGGCUUAAAGGGCGCGUAGGCGGACUCGCCAGUCUGUGGUGAAAGCCCCCGGCUUAACCGGGGAAGUGCCAUGGAUACUGCGAGUCUGGAGGAGGGUAGGGGCAUCUGGAACGCUGGGUGGAGCGGUGAAAUGCGCAGAUAUCGGGAAGAACACCCGUGGCGAAGGCGGCUCUCUGGAACGCAACUGACGCUGAGACGCGAAAGCGUGGGGAGCAAACAGG
rnacentral:rRNA from 1 species